CAUUCCAACUUUGUUAUUUUUACACGAGGCGAGAGGAUAGCCAAACCUCUCUCCCUUUCUUUCUCUAUCGCUAUAUAUAAAUAUUUUCUUGCAAACCUAUUUCUUCGCUCUCACAUCUCUGUCUCUCCUUCUUCCUCCAUACAUAAAAUCUUAAUAUCAUUAGACCUUGUAAUAAUAUCCAAUUGAAUUGUUCACAGUAAUUGCACAGAGAGACAGAGAGGGAGAGAGCAGAAACAGAGGGCCUUUCUCGCCCUCUCUUCUUGUUAUGCCUCCUCUCAGAUCUUAGAUUCUCUUAGUUUUUCUUUUUCUUCGGAAUCCUGAUCGCUGGUUGAUCUUUGAUCAGUUAAAGUUGUAUUAUGCUUUUGGAUUGAAUCCAAGAGUACCCAUUUCGUAAAUAUCUGUAAAUAUUCAAGCUUUGUUUUAUUAUUUUUUUUUACCAGAAAUGAAAAUGGAGCUUGGAAAGCUAUUCAUUGGUGGGUUAUCAUGGGACACAAAUGAAGACCAACUUAGAGAGUAUUUUCAGGCUUUUGGCGAAGUAGUGGGUGCUGUGAUAAUGAAGGAUCGAGCUACUGGUCGUGCCCGUGGCUUUGGUUUUGUUGUGUUUGCAGACCCUGCCGUUGCUGAGAGAGUUGUGAUGGAAAAACAUUUGAUAUACGGGAGGAAUGUUGAAGCAAAGAAGGCAGUUCCUAGGGAGGAUCAAAACAUUGUGAAUAGAAACAGCAACAGCAGCAUACAUGGUUCAGCAGGUCCAGCUCGUACAAAGAAGAUAUUUGUAGGAGGUUUAGCAUCUACAGUCACAGAGACUGACUUUAAGAAGUACUUUGAUCAGUUUGGGAUAAUUACAGAUGUUGUGGUUAUGUAUGACCACAACACUCUAAGGCCAAGAGGUUUUGGAUUUAUUACUUACGAUUCAGAGGAAGCUGUGGAUAAAGUGUUGCACAAAACCUUUCAUGAACUCAAUGGUAAAAUGGUUGAGGUCAAGCGGGCUGUCCCUAAAGAACUAUCACCAGGGCCAACUCGGAGCCAGUUAAGUGGGUAUAAUUAUGGUGCAAGUAGAGUUGGUGGCUUCCUGAAUGGUUACAGUCAGACUCAGGAAUACAAUACAAGUUCUGCUGGAGGAUUUGGUGUUAGAAUGGAUGGUAGGUUUAGUCCUGUUACUGUUGGUCAGAGUAACUUUUCUCCAUUUGGUCCUGGUUCUGGGAUGAGGCUGAAUUUUGAGCCAGGGUUGAGUCCUAGUUAUGGGGGAAAUUCAAACAUUAACCUUGGCUAUGGGAGAUUGAGCCCUUCAUAUAGUGGAAAUUCCAGCAGGUAUUGUAGCCCUAUUGGAUAUAAUGGAGUCAAUGGUGGAAAUACUUCUGCCUUAAGUUCGACUGCUCGAACUUCAUGGAGUAAUGGAAGUAUUAAUCAUGCUUCAGACUCCACAAAUUCUAGUACUGUUGUGGGCUCUGGAACUGGGAAUUCAGGAAUGGGUUCUUUUGGCAGUAUUGGCAGACUCUGGGGAUCCUCGGUUAAUUCUGGACAAGGUGGAGGUACUGGCUCUGCCUAUGGCAGAGGCAGUCUUAGCUACAAUUGGGGAGAUUUCAAUGUUGGUCUUGGAGGGGUAGGAUAUGGAAGAAACAGUGGGACAAGUGCUGCGCUAGUUUCAUCUCAUGCUGCAUCACAUGAUGAUCAUGAUGUACCUUGUGCAGAUAUUUAUGAUAAUGGCUUGUUGUAUGGGGAUUCUGCAUGGCGAUCUUCGCCUUUAGGGCUAGAGGGUUCUGGCUCAUUUGGUUUCGGGCUUGGAAAUGCAGCUACAGAUGGUGUGACUAAAAUUGCUGCUGGUUAUACUGAUGGUUAUAGUGUUGCCAAUAGACAAGCAAAUAGAGGUAUUUCAAACUCAAAUUCAAAAUAGGUUCACAAUCAUGAACCAACUCAAAGAUUCAUGGACGUUGUCAAUUGAAGGAAACCCAUGUAGUAUCUAUCAAAAUUUCCCACUUUCAAACCCCUUAGUCCAAAUACAAUGAAUUGCCGCUUAGGAUUAUUAUGAUGUGAAUGUGAAGAGGUUAUUGUAGGUGAAGCAUAUCAGAUUAAGUGAAUUACGUACACUUUCCUUGCCUGAUGUUUCAGUUUAUAAGAGAACUUUAUUAGAGCUGAUCAUUUUGCCUGUUUUGAUGAAUUUAUCGAAGAGUGCAGCCGGUAGGAGUUCUGUGUAAGGUUUGAGCUUUUGAUGUUUUUAUGGUAUAGGUUUUCCUUUCUUGGAAUUUAAUUAAAUGUAAAAUCAUGUGUUGUGGCGUGUAAACAGAAUUACUGUAUCAUGCAUCUCUGGUGACACAGUGAUACACAAAAGAAUGAACAUUUUUUUUUUCUUU